GACGAACGCUGGCGGCGUGCUUAACACAUGCAAGUCGAACGGAAAGGCCCUGCUUUUGUGGGGUGCUCGAGAGGCGAACGGGUGAGUAACACGUGAGUAACCUGCCCUUGACUUUGGGAUAACUUCAGGAAACUGGGGCUAAUACCGGAUAGGAGCUCCUGCUGCAUGGUGGGGGUUGGAAAGUUUCGGCGGUUGGGGAUGGACUCGCGGCUUAUCAGCUUGUUGGUGGGGUAGUGGCUUACCAAGGCUUUGACGGGUAGCCGGCCUGAGAGGGUGGCCGGCCACAUUGGGACUGAGAUACGGCCCAGACUCCUACGGGAGGCAGCAGUGGGGAAUAUUGCACAAUGGGCGGAAGCCUGAUGCAGCAACGCCGCGUGCGGGAUGACGGCCUUCGGGUUGUAAACCGCUUUCGCCUGUGACGAAGCGUGAGUGACGGUAAUGGGUAAAGAAGCACCGGCUAACUACGUG
rnacentral:rRNA from 1 species